UACGGAGGGUGCAAGCGUUAUCCGGAUUCACUGGGAUUAAAGGGUGCGUAGGUGGCGCCAUAAGUCAGGUGUGAAAUCUCGGGGCUCAACCCCGAAACUGCACUUGAUACUGUGGUGCUCGAGUACUGGAGAGGAGAUUGGAAUUUACGGUGUAGCAGUGAAAUGCGUAGAUAUCGUAAGGAAGACCAGUGGCGAAGGCGAAUCUCUGGACAGUUACUGACACUGAGGCACGAAGGCCAGGGGAGCAAACGGG
rnacentral:rRNA from 1 species